GAGAAUCCAAUCACCGAUGCCAUCUCCAUCGCCGAUAACACCACCGCGUUCUUGUCCUCUUACGUAUCCUACACGAAAAACAAAAGGUUCUUGAGCCCUAAUUAUAAAAAACUACUAGCCAUAGUGGCCGCAAAACAUGCAUCUCAUGUUCAGGCCACGGUAGUAUGCGCAAAGUCCAAUGGUAUCCAGCUCCGUAUACGAAGCGGCGGUCAUGACUACGAAGGCCUUUCUUACAUGUCGUCUGUGCCAUUUGUUAUUCUCGAUAUGUACAAUCUGAGGUCUAUUACUGUUGACGUGUCAAGCAAGAAAGCGUGGGUUCAAGCUGGUGCGACCUUGGGGGAGCUCUACACAAAGGUCAAUGAUGUAAGCCAAACACUAGCUUUCCCGGCUGGCGUUUGCGCUACAGUAGGAGCUGGUGGGCACAUAAGUGGUGGAGGGUAUGGAAAUCUGAUGAGAAAAUACGGAAUCACUGUGGAUAAUGUCAUUGAUGCUCAAAUAGUUGAUGUCAACGGCAAGCUCUUGAAUCGACUUACCAUGGGAGAAGAUCUCUUUUGGGCGAUUCGUGGCGGUGGCGGUGGGAGUUUCGGAGUUAUCCUCUCUUGGAAAAUCAACCUUGUCGAGGUUCCAAAGAUCGUGACAGUAUUUAAGGUUAACAAAACAUUGGAACAAGGAGGCACUGAUGUUCUUUACAAGUGGCAGCUUGUCGCUAGCAAAUUCCCUGAAAGUCUUUUCGUGAGAGCAAUGCCUCAGGUCGCAAAUGGAACAAAACGCGGCGAGAGAACCAUCGCUGUUGUAUUCUAUGCUCAGUUUUUGGGUCGAACCGAUGAGCUAAUGGCGAUAAUGAACCAAAACUGGCCUGAACUAGGGCUAAAACGUGAAGAUUGUCAAGAAAUGAGCUGGCUUAACUCGACGUUGUUUUGGGCAGAUUAUCCAGCCGGUACACCGACGAGCAUUCUUCUAGAUAGACCGUCGAGUCCAGGAGAUUUUUUCAAGAGCAAAUCGGAUUACGUCAAAAAACCAAUCCCUAAAGAAGGACUGGAGAAGCUUUGGAAGACAAUGUUGAAAUUCAACAAUAAUAUUGUGUGGAUGCAAUUCAACCCAUACGGUGGAGUGAUGGACCGGAUUCCUGCAACCGCCACAGCGUUUCCUCACCGGAAAGGUAACUUGUUCAAGAUUCAAUACUUUACGACAUGGUUUAACGCAAACGCCACAGAGAGUAGCCUGAGUCAGAUGAAGGAGCUUUACGAGGUUGCUGAACCGUACGUGUCAAGUAACCCUAGAGAGGCUUUCUUUAAUUACAGAGAUAUCGAUGUUGGAAGCAAUCCGAGUGGUGAGACAAACGUUGAUGAAGCUAAGAUCUAUGGAUACAAGUAUUUCUUGGGGAACUUGAAGAGAUUGAUGGAUGUUAAAGCUAAGUAUGAUCCUGAGAAUUUCUUCAAGAACGAACAGAGCAUUCCUCCGGUUCGUGUAAUGUAGUGAUAUUACUGUUUUAUAAGAUUUACUUAUCAAGUUCAAUAAGCUAUGUGGGCAGGUGUAUAUAGCCUAUAUAUUGUUCUAUUAUUGUCUCAUUUGCAUGAUAAUCUUUUUGUUAUAUUUAUUCAUUACUCAAUAAAAAAAAUUCAUGAAAUAAAAAUUUCUUAAGCCUGCUCAUCACUUCCUAAGACAAUGCAUGCCUCUUCUCCGCCGGCGUGGUUUUAUAUUCACACCCAGAAAUUGUGCAUUUUUAAUCGAACUUUCGUUAUGUUUUUCUACGAAAUGCAUUUCAUUUUAAACAAACUCUAUUUUUUUAGCUUCAUAAAUUUCAUUUUUUUUUAAUUAAGCAAAAAGGGAGAACAUUGAUCUAAAUUUCUUAAGACUUAUUCUAACCGUCUAUUGAUCUAAACACUAUAUACUGUAUAUAGAUACAUCUUUUAUGUUGACAAACUCCACGAACAUUGGAGAGGAUAUUUUACUCUAAAUUUCUUAAGACUUAUUGACAAACUCCACGAUGGUUUUGAAAAACAUCUAAUUAAAACAAAACAAAAAAUUAUACAGUUAUAUACGUAAAUAGGUUUAAUUUCACACAAAUACCCUUUAUGUUUGCAAAGAUAUAUGUGUUAUUCUACCAUUUUCACACAAAUUAAAAAAAAAAAAAAUUCAAUUUUACUCUUUACUAAUACACUAAAAUAGUUUUUUUUUCUCUAAUUAAUAAGUUGAAAUAAGUAGAAUCUCAAUUUUUAUGAAACAAAAAUAAAAUCUUAAAACAACAACUUUUUUGAAACGAAGAAAGUAUUAUAAUAAACACAAUUUAAUGGUGCAUGCAUUUUUAUGAUAAUUUAAUGUUGAUAAAAAAAAGAAUCGACGUUUCUGCUAUAAGAAAAGUUAAUUGUACGUUUAAAUUAAAAUAAUAAUAAUGGGAAAUCAUUAGUAUUCUACAACAGCGUAACCUUUUAAAAUUUCAAUUCAACGAGGUGGGACAAAGAAAACAAGGAAUUGAAAGCGAAGAGAGGAAAAUUCAGUGCAUUCUAUAAAUAUUCUUGGCAUAAAAAUCAACAAACUUAAUCGCAAUUAUUUCAAUUAAUACUGCUAGAUAGCUAGGUUUGUUCAAAAUAUGAAUGAAGUCUCACCUUAGGUUUUCCAUUUAUAUAAUAAUCUCGUUUCGACUUAGAAAAUCUCUGUAUUCAACUACCUAAAAUGAUAAUGUGAAAUAAAGAAGUUCAAGUGAUGCGACUCAAUCCCUGAUCGCAAUCAUGUUCCCGUGUUAUAUACGUACGUUGUAAUUUUCGUAAGCUUGUUCAAAAUAAACACCUACAUGGUGAUGAAAAGUCAAAACCAAAUUCAAAGUACACCUAUUUGGAAAAAAAUAGUCAAAAUAGUCAAGUUUAACAUUAUUUUAUCUCCAUAUACAUAUAUAUUGUUAUUCUAUAAAUUAUAAUCCUAAUAGAGGCAUAAGACGAACAAAAACAAACAGCAAAAUGAAAGAAGCAUUUUACGUUUUGUAUCUUGUUCUUUUGGUUUCGGGUUUAGAAGCAUUAGUGACGAAACCUAAUUCUGGAAACUUCAUCGAAUGCCUUCGCUACCGGAUUAGUCCGGAGAAUCCAAUCACCGAUGCCAUCUUUACAGCCGAUAACACCACCACCUUCUUGUCUUCUUACGUGUCAUACACGAAAAACACGAGGUUUUCGAGCCCAAACUACAAAAAACUACUAGCAAUCGUAGUGGCGAAUGAUGUAGCUCAUGUUCAGGCAACGGUGGUCUGCGCAAAGUCCAAUGGUAUCCAGAUACGUAUCCGAAGCGGUGGUCAUGACAACGAAGGCCUUUCUUACACGUCGUCUGUGCCAUUUGUCAUUCUUGAUAUGCACAAUCUGAGGACUAUUACUGUUGACGUGUCAAGCAAGAAAGCAUGGGUUCAAGCUGGUGCGACCUUGGGAGAGCUCUACGUGAAGAUCAAUGAGGCAAGCCAAACGCUAGCAUUCCCGGCUGGCAUUUGCGCUACGGUAGGAGCAGGAGGACACAUAAGCGG
rnacentral:lncRNA from 1 species